CCCUUAGAUGUUCUGGGCCGCACGCGCGCUACACUGACUGCUCCAACAAGUUACCUGGGCUGACAAGCAUCCGGGAAAUCUUGCAAAGGCAGUCGUGAUGGGGAUAGAUUCUUGUAAUUUUUGAUCUUCAACGAGGAAUUCCUAGUAAACGCAAGUCAUCAGCUUGCAUUGAUUACGUCCCUGCCCUUUGUACACACCGCCCGUCGCAUCUACCGAUUGAAUGGAGAGGCAAAAUCUUCGGACCGUGACGCUUGGGAGUCAAAUCUCGGGCUGUCGUGAGAAGUGGAUUAAACCUUUCUAUUUAGAGGAAGGUAAAGUCGUAACA
rnacentral:rRNA from 1 species